UACGGGGGGGGCAAGCGUUGUUCGGAAUUACUGGGCGUAAAGGGCUCGUAGGUGGCCAACUAAGUCAGACGUGAAAUCCCUCGGCUUAACCGGGGAACUGCGUCUGAUACUGGAUGGCUUGAGUUCGGGAGAGGGAUGCGGAAUUCCAGGUGUAGCGGUGAAAUGCGCAGAUAUCGGGAGGAACACCGGUGGCGAAGGCGGUUCUCUGGGCCUGUACUGACGCUGAGGAGCGAAAGCGUGGGGAGCGAACAGG
rnacentral:rRNA from 1 species